AACGAACGCUGGCGGCGUGGAUAAGACAUGCAAGUCGAACGAUCACUAUUGGGUAGCAAUAUUCGGUAGUGGGAGUGGCGCAAGGGUGCGUAACACGUGGGUAAUUUGCCGUAAAGUCUGGGAUAACUUGCUGAAAGGCGAGCUAAUACCGGAUGUGAUUGCUGGAGGGCAUCCUCUGGCACUUAAAGUCGGGGACCGCAAGGCCUGACACUUUUCGAUAAGCCCGCGGCCUAUCAGCUAGUUGGUGAGGUAACGGCUCACCAAGGCUAAGACGGGUAGCUGGUCUGAGAGGACGACCAGCCUCACUGGAACUGAGACACGGUCCAGACACCUACGGGUGGCAGCAGUCGAGAAUUUUUCUUC
rnacentral:rRNA from 1 species